GAAAUACCACCUCGGUCAAUAAAAGCAAGUAUCUACAUAUGUGAGGAUCUGUUUCUGGCCUUGAUUUUCUGUUGGUGUGAUUGUCCACCACAGUGCAAACCAGUCUUACUCAUAGGAAAUUAUACUAAUCUUUCUGCAAAAGAACUUGUCUUUGCCUAACAGUCACAUCUGAAGAGGCUGUGAGAGAAAGGGCAGACUGAAGAGGCCCAGCAUGCUUCUAUUCAUGAGACGUGGAGAAACAGGAAAGGUAAAUGGCUCCUUAGUCAGAUCAGGGCAGUUAACUACAGAGACCUGGACGUCAGCAAAGUUAUCCUUCAGCCCCUUUUGCAGAACUAUGAAGACAAGGAAAAGGGUAAAUAACAGACCAAUCUGACAACAGAGCAUGCAUAGGACAGAGGAGGGAGGCACAAUGUGCAUGUCUACCACUGUUCCUCGCCGCUCAUCCACACACUGUUUAUGAAGCUCCGUGAGCAUAGAAUCCUGGUGGACCCAUCAGCAAGACUCAAGUCCCUGGAUUCCACAGUGUUGGUAGAAUGUGCAUGUAGCAAAAAGUAAAAUAAAUACGGCUGUUAGUUCUGUGCAGUUUCCACUGUUCUGGUAAGAAAGAAAUACAUAUGCUUGUAUGAGCUAUGAAAUACGAAUUAGGAAGUUUCAGCAAUUCUCCAUGAGUUAAAUGUUUUAUAUUUGUAUUUAAAACUGGCACUGCACAAUAUAAAGAAUGGUAAAAUUUAUGCUAAUAAUACAUAUUGUUAAUUUUUCCUUAGAAUGACAUUAAAUAAGUUAAUGUUACUAACCAAUAAUAGCAUAAUUAAUAAUAGCACGGUUAAAAUACUAUUAAUAAUUAAUGGAAAGUUAAUGUUCAUUAAAACACCAUGAUAAGUCAAAAAAGAUAUUACAAAAGAAAGGAGACAGCUUAUAUUUUAGUACCUUUUAUGGCACCUUUCCCCUGCCUUUAGAAGAAAGGACCCUGCUUGUUCUUUUUGUACUGGGCCUCACGAUUUUCGUAGCUGGUGCCUGCUCCCAAAUACGGUAGCGAGUGACACACGUGUGGUGGCUGUCCUGGAGCCUACACUAGUUUCUAGACUGCAAGUGCCUAUAGCAGUGGGCUUUUUAUGCUGUUAUUAUUUAAUAUUUAGAGCACAAUUGAGUAAAGAAACCAGAUUACCUUCAAGUUCUAUCCAAUCCCAAGAUAACACUAAUUAUAAACUAAGUCUAGGCAGCUUUGUUGGUUUAUCAUAUGAUCCAAGAUAUCUGAAAGUGGACAAAUCAAACCAUGUCAUUCCUUCCUAUAACUAUUUUGGGGGGAAAAACCCACCACAACUAAACUAGUUGAGACUUUCUGAACAGUAACCGUUCAAAGAAU